AUUGAACGCUGGCGGCAUGCUUUACACAUGCAAGUCGAACGGUAACAGGCCUUCGGGUGCUGACGAGUGGCGAACGGGUGCGUAAUGCAUCGGAACGUACCCAGAGGUGGGGGAUAACGCAGCGAAAGCUGUGCUAAUACCGCAUGUGAUCUGAGGAUGAAAGCGGGGGACCGAGCAGCAAUGUUUGGCCUCGCGCCUUUGGAGCGGCCGAUGUCGGAUUAGCUAGUUGGUGGGGUAAAGGCCUACCAAGGCGACGAUCCGUAGCUGGUCUGAGAGGACGAUCAGCCACACUGGGACUGAGACACGGCCCAGACUCCUACGGGAGGCAGCAGUGGGGAAUCUUGGACAAUGGGCGAAAGCCUGAUGCAGCAAUGCCGCGUGCGGGAAGAAGGUCUUCGGGUUGUAAAACGCUUUUGGCAGGAACGAAACGGUGUCUGCUAAUACCGGGCGCUAAUGACGGUACCUGCAGAAUAAGCACCGGCUAACUACGUG
rnacentral:rRNA from 1 species